CAAAAUGUAUUGCUGCUGCCCUGGUUGCAAUUCAAGCAACAAAGUCAAGAGAGGAUCUCUUGCUCAUGAACUUGAACCUGAGGAUCAAAAUGUGUCCUUUUAUUCUUUUCCAAGAGAUGCUAACCUUGGGACCAAAUGGUUGAGCCUUAAACCAAGAAAAAACUAGAAACCCACCAAACAUUCAAGAAUAUGCAGCAAACAUUUUGCCGAUUCAUGUUUCAAAGAAGAAAAAUAUCACAAAAAUAUAUAUGGAAGCAUGAAAAAUUCCAAAAUGAUCAAAUUAAAAAACGAUGCUCAACCAACUUUAUAUCCAGGUCUUCCUUCCUAUUAUUCGAAAGUGUCAUCUAAUCCAAGACUUACCGUCAGUUCAUCUUCGGAGCAAAGAUUAAAAAAACGAACAAAUCAAACUUGAUGAUCUAAUAAGAAGGUCUGUUGAGAUGGACAAAGUUGGAAAUAUCAAGGAUUCGAGUGAUAAAUAUAAUCGUUCUGACAAAAAUCCCUACACAUCAUGUUCCAACCAAGAUACUUAUAUUUACCAUCAAAGUCUGUGUAUUCUCCAGUUGGAGGAGCCUCUGCACAUUAACUUGCGUACAAAUUAACCAACAGUUCA
rnacentral:lncRNA from 1 species